rnacentral:rRNA from 1 species
CCUACGGGGGACAGCAGUGGGGAAUAUUGGGCAAUGGGCGCAAGCCUGACCCAGCAAUGCCGCGUGAAGGAAGAAGGCUUUCGGGUUGUAAACUUCUUUGACAGGGGAAGAGCAGAAGACGGUACCCUGAAAACAAGCCACGGCUAACUACGUGCCAGCAGCCGCGGUAAUACGGAGGUGGCAAGCGUUGUCCGGAUUUACUGGGUGUAAAGGGUGUGUAGCCGGGAAGGCAAGUCAGAUGUGAAAUCUGGGGGCUCAACCUCGAAAUUGCAUUUGAAACUGUUUGUCUUGAGUACAGUAGAGGCAGACGGAAUUCGUGGUGUAGCGGUGAAAUGCGUAGAUAUAAGGAGGAACACCAGUGGCGAAGGCGGUCUGCUGGACAGCAACUGGCGGUGAGGCGCGAAAGCGUGGGGAGCAAACAGGAUUAGAUACCCUAGUAGUC